GUGGGGAAUAUUGCGCAAUGGGCGAAAGCCUGACGCAGCCAAUCCGCGUGUGUGAUGAAGGCCUUCGGGUCGUAAAGCACUGUCGUCAGGGAAGAAUCAAUGACGGUACCUGACAAGAAAGCACCGGCUAACCCUGUGCCAGCAGCCGCGGUAAUACAGGGGGUGCAAGCGUUGCUCGGAAUCACUGGGCGUAAAGCGUCCGCAGGUGGGCGCGUGUGUCGGGUGUGAAAGCCCAGGGCUCAACCCUGGAACUGCACUCGAAACUGCGCGUCUUGAGUACGGGAGAGGAAAGCGGAAUUCCUGGUGUAGAGGUGAAAUUCGUAGAUAUCAGGAGGAACACCGGUGGCGAAAGCGGCUUUCUGGCCCGAUACUGACACUCAUGGACGAGAGCGCGGGGAGCAAACAGGAUUAGAAACCCUUGUAGUCC
rnacentral:rRNA from 1 species